GGUUAAGCGACUAAGCGUACACGGUGGAUGCCCUGGCAGUCAGAGGCGAUGAAGGACGUGCUAAUCUGCGAUAAGCGUCGGUAAGGUGAUAUGAACCGUUAUAACCGGCGAUUUCCGAAUGGGGAAACCCAGUGUGAUUCGUCACACUAUCAUUAACUGAAUCUAUAGGUUAAUGAGGCGAACCGGGGGAACUGAAACAUCUAAGUACCCCGAGGAAAAGAAAUCAACCGAGAUUCCCCCAGUAGCGGCGAGCGAACGGGGAGCAGCCCAGAGCCUGAAUCAGU
rnacentral:rRNA from 1 species